UCGGAAUGGACUGCGCCGCCGCCCGCAGCUCCCUCUUUCCCUUGCUCCCCCAGCGGCCACAAGACGCCUUGCUAGCGACCCCGCACCUCCGCCGCGCCCUACCGCCGGCGACCUCCCCGCCCGACCUCCGGUCGCUCCGCCGCCUUGGCCAUCUCCCUUCUUCUCCUGCUUAUCGAUCUCCUCUCACCUCUAUCCCUCUUUCUCCCUGGAUAGGGACCUCCAUGGCGCUGUCAACCCUCAAUCUUGCCUGACCCGGCCGCCUCCAUGCGAAAUCCAUCAAAAAUGGAUCCACCCCGGCCAGAUCCGCCCGGAUCCGACCGGGCCCCGCCGUCAUUGCCACAAGAGCGCCGGCCCCGCUCGACUUGCAACACCACCUACAACUGGUAGCCCAUGAAGAACCUCAUCUCUCUGAUUUGCUCCCUAUUUGUUGCAAGAUGGGCAAGAACCAGAUAUAGUAGUUGCAACAAAAGGGAUGAAUUUAGAGGAAGAUGCAGCAAGGCAGAGGCUUUGCUGUAAAUCAUGUAUUUUCCCCUUACACAUAAGGUGCCAGCUUCUAAUCAGUCUUUUCAGAAUUUAUCGAUUAAAAGAGCAACUUCGGCAUGCAAUGGAACCUUUUCAAAUUGCCAUGGUGCUAUUUUUGUGCAGAAAUAAAAGUUCUCGGAAUGACCUAAAAUUCAACGGAGAUUAUUUUUGGAAU